rnacentral:rRNA from 1 species
UACGCAGGGAGCAAGCGUUGUCCGGAAUCAUUGGGCGUAAAGCGCGCGUAGGUGGCCUCAUAAGUCCGCUGUGAAAGUCAAAGGCUCAACCUUUGAAAGCCGGUGGAUACUGUGAGGCUAGAGUACGGAAGAGGCGAGUGGAAUUCCUGGUGUAGCGGUGGAAUGCGCAGAUAUCAGGAGGAACACCAAUAGCGAAGGCAGCUCGCUGGGACGUUACUGACACUGAGGCGCGAAAGCGUGGGGAGCGAACAGG